UACGUAGGGUCCGAGCGUUGUCCGGAAUUAUUGGGCGUAAAGAGCUCGUAGGCGGCUUGUCGCGUCGGCUGUGAAAACCCGCGGCUCAACUGUGGGCGGGCAGCUGAUACUGGGUGGCUUGAAUUCGGGAGAGGCAAGUGGAAUUCCCGGUGUAGCGGUGAAAUGCGCAGAUAUCGGGAGGAACACCAAUGGCGAAGGCAGCUUGCUGGGACGGUACUGACGCUGAGGCGCGAAAGCGUGGGGAGCAAACAGG
rnacentral:rRNA from 1 species